rnacentral:rRNA from 1 species
AGCAGCCGCGGUAAUUCCAGCUCCAAUAGCGUAUAUUAAAGUUGUUGCAGUUAAAAGCUCGUAGUUGAAUUUCGGGAUCAGUACGCUGGUCGUGCCUUCGGUAUGAACUGGUGUCACUGGUUCCUCCCUUCUGAAGAACCGUUAUGCCAUUAAGUUGGUGUGGCGGGGAAUCAGGACUGUUACUUUGAAAAAUUGAGUGUUUAAAGCAGGCUCGCGCUUGAAUACAUUAGCAUGGAAUAAUGAAAUAGGACGUUUGAUCCUACUUUGUUGGUUUCUAGGAUCGACGUAAUGAUUAAUAGGGAUAGUUGGGGGCAUUAGUAUUCAAUUUGCAGAGGUGAAAUUCUU